rnacentral:lncRNA from 1 species
UUCUUUCCUUCCCGCGGCUUAUUUUUGACCGAAACAGGGGAUCUUUGAUCCCCUCAUUGGUUGGCCGGCCGGCGGUGCAGCCGGCGCGGGGAUGGUCGACGGCCAAAGGAGAGGUGAUCCGACGGCAAGGGGCGGCCAAACUAGUGGUCGGCGGUAACCACCAGCGACAGAAAACGGCAAAAAAGAAGGAUUUCUUUCGCAACAAAAUCCGGCGACUCCGGUCGCUGGCGAGCGUGCACAUCGGCACGGGAAGGAAGGGGAAGG